rnacentral:misc_RNA from 1 species
AACGCACAUUGCGCCCCUUGGUAUUCCGAGGGGCAUACUUGUUCGAGCGUCAUUACAACCCCCAAGCAUUGCUUAGUAUUGGGCUCCGCUGUUCACCUAGCGGGCCUUAAAACUAGUGGCGGUGCCAUCGAGGCUCUGAGCGUAGUAAAUAUCCUCGCUAUAGGAACCCGGCGGACGCUGGCCAUCAACCCCUAACUUUCUAAGUUGACCUCGAAUCAGGUAGGCAUACCCGCUGAACUUAA